ACCUGGUUCGCUCAGUUGGUGGAGCAUGCGACUCUUGAUCACAGGGUUGUGGGUUUGAGCCCCACACUGGGUG
rnacentral:tRNA from 1 species